rnacentral:lncRNA from 1 species
AUUUUUUUCGGGGGGGGGAGGGUAACCGGGAAAUGAACUUAGGACCUUGCACUUGCCAGACAGGCGCUUAUGCCACUGAGCUAUAUGCCCGGCCCUUGCCUUACUAUUUUUUAACAAGUGCUGUAAUUUUUUUUUCUUUAACAGAUCCACAGAACUGGGGCCCUGUUCCAGAAAGGCAGCAUGUAGCUCCUCUUUGUGCCUGUUGUGCUUUCUGGUUUGCUCUAAAGAAAGCUUUUGCAAAGUUCCCUUCUUCUGAACUUUACUACUUCGAGACAUGGAGCAGAACAGCCGUCCCUGUCCAACAUGCCUGCUUUACACUGCAAAUUUUAAAUAUUCAGAUUUCCAUGGUUAGAGAUUACUCACCUCCCCUGCUGGUCAUUAAAUCAGUCUGGCAGGAUUCCUCCGUAGUUCUGUGGCCUUCCGGGUAUGUGGCGGAGACACAGGCAGUGCUGCAGACAGGCCUGCUUGCUGUGAUGUGCUACCAAGCAAGUGACUUCAAAGGUCUGCUUUAAGCCUAUCUCAAGUAUCACUUGGGGCUCACACUGAGCCCCAAAGUCAAGUACCAGAUGGCACAUCCCACAAAGUCAAAGUUGAUCAGCUUACCCACAUCUCACAUUUCCCUAGCUCCUGUGCCAAGACAUGCUGCAACCUCCCAGGUGAAAACUAAUUUCUGUUAGCUUGCUUCUUCUCUUCUGUUCAUAAGGAGUUGCCAGUUAAAUGCUCAACUGUCCUGUGAAGUUUGCAUACCUGGGGAAUCCUGAGAGAUUUAGUUUUGGGUUUUUUUGGUACCAGGAAUCGAACUCAGGACCUUGAACGUGCCAGGCAGGCGCUUGUGCCACUGGGCUAUAUCCCCAGCUCAUGAUUUAGUUUUGUGUAUAUUUAAAAAAUAAUCAUCCUUCCCUAACUCUCAUAUGGCAUCUACCAACAUACUAUGAGUCAUUAAAACGUAGGGUUUUCUCUGAUGGCUUUAUAUUGAAAUUUCAGUAUAAGUUAGCAGAAUAAUCAGUUUGUCCCAAAUGCUUACCUGCAUGGAGAAAGUAAAAGACUGUUUCUCAAAUUGAAAUGAGACAAUUAGGGCAGGCAUUUGACAUAAUAGUUACACAAAUAAAAUGUAUUUAAAAAUCAAGCAAUGCUAGAAUUGAGACUGUACUCAGAUUUUUUUUUUGAUGCACUUUCUAUGAAAUGAAAGGAAAAUGAAAGCAACGUCACUCUCUUCUUAAUUUUCCCCUACUGUAAAAAUAAAUGCAUGAGAGAUACUUUCUCAGGCCUGGGUUCAAUCCUUUCUAAGUGUAUCUCCUUCUUGGAUAAUUUGCAGAAGGGACUGGACUGCCUAAGCCAUCACAGCACAUGUCACCAGACAAAGCACUCUUAAGAUGUUCAGACCAGAUUCCAGCAUCAGUGUCUGUGAAGAUGACCUUUAAGGUGCCUUCCAAAGCCAAAGUUCUUUGAUUGCAUAUUUCUUGGAUGUAACCUCUUCUUUUGUCAUUUUAUGCUCAGAAAAGCACAGCAGCUGGAAUAGGCAACAAAGUGCUGCCUCCUUAGUCCUGAACAGGUCAUGACUCACAGUGGAGUUUUAUACAGUGUCAGAGGCAGCCUGGCCUAAGUGAGCAACUGUCACAUACUGAGGCUUCAGGUAUGCCAGUAAUGGGCAUCUACUAACUGACAACUCUCAAUCACCACUGUCAAUUCAGCAGUUUUGCCAUUCAAGCAAAAAACUGCAUUUGGUUUCUUGAGUUCCCAUCUAGCAGGCAGGAUUUUAACCAUAAGGGUUUUGUAGAAAGCAAAGAUAACUGCAUCCCGGGGAGGAUUACAUUGGGAAAUCUGGUGUCUUCCCAAUUGCCUGAGACAGCAUCAUCUCAGAGGUUGCAAUAUUUAUCUCCAAAGUGCUGUAAGAUUUUUGAAUGUGAAUUUUUCUUUGACAUUUUUUUUCAAUUUACAUAAUCAGUAUGCCUGAAAAAAAAAACUAAUAAAAAGAAACAUACUUAGGAGAGUUUCUCUACCUGGGUACUAUCAACAUUUGGGGGUCAGAUAAUUCUUUGUUCUGAGGAUUAUAUUAUGCAUUACAGGAUGUUUGGCAGGAUUCCUGGCCUCUACCCACUGCAUCCCCCCAGUAGCAUAGUCUCCCCCUGCUGUUAUGGCAAACAAAAAUGUCUCCAGGCAGUGCCAAACAUCCUCUGAGAGGUUACUGUUACCCCCAGUUGAGAACUGCUUUAUGAGUUAUUUGUUUGUUUUGUUUUGUUUUUUUUCCGGUACCGGGAAUCGAACUCACGACGUUGUGCUUGCCAGGCAGGCACUAUGCCGCUGAGCUAAAUCCCCAGCCCCUUUAUGAAUUAUUUGAACAGGGUCAACAUCCUGAAAGGGCUCAGGUAAAAGAAUUUUGGAAUACAACAUGUGAACUUUGCAUGUAUGGAACAUCACAAGUCCUUGAUGUAUGGUCUUGUUCUGUUUAUGAUUUUCAUAAAUGUAAAAAUUCAUUCAAGCUAAAAAAUUGGCUGGAAUUUACUGAUCCUUACAUUGUAAAGGAAGAAAUAAUGGUAAUUCCUGUAAUGAUUAAGUCUUGACAAAAUAUUUGGAAAAACAUGGAUUUUGAUCUAGCUAUCAGGUCUUUGUGACCCUGAGCUAAGCGGUUAAGCUGCCCUUCUUGGAAAGCCUUAAAUUAAAUAACUCCAAGUUAAAUUCUAUUAACAUUGUUUGUAGUUUAAUUCUACCUAAUAUAUUUAAACAUAAAAGGUUUAAAUAAAACAGAAACUUGAUAUUUGAACAUGAUGUGAUUCUCUAAUAUGUGGAAGAACAUCUGCUUAGUGAGGCUGUGUCCUUCCCUUGGUUUGGAAUUCAAUGUCCCAAGUCCUUCUGAAGAAGAGGGUAUUGCUCAAAGGAAAUAUUCCUAUCCAACUGUAAAACCAAAAUAUGUUUUGAUUUGACUAUAGAAAUUAUCAAGGAAGGGAAAAUGGUGUCUCCAAAAAAGAGAUGCCUAAAAAUUGCCUGUAAAGUUGUAAAAUAAAAAAUU